UUUUCCUUUCUUUCUUCCUCCACCAAAGAGAAACUUAAAUAUUGAUGAUUAUGGAUGUCCUUAAUUAACGCAUCUUUGCUCAAAAAUAUUUUACAUGGUUUUACUUGACAUUUUAAAAUAACCCUAUGGCAGCAGCAUAGAAUAUUCAGGAACAAGUUUCUCCUGGAAGCUGGAGGUAUUCUGAUCAAGCAACUUCAGGGACCCUGGGACCUCCACAUCUACUUCCUGGUACAGACUCUGACUUUGCUGCUUGCUCAUUCCUCUCACUCUAUGGAGAUUUUUCAAUUUUUCAUUUUCUAUAUCGCAAAACAACAAUAAUAGUUAUGAAAACCUGCCUUCAUAGAGUCCACUGGGAAAAGGAAGGAGAUCAAGAUAUAGACCUCUCAGCUCCAUCUCCAGCACCAUGCCUGCCUGGAUGCUGGCAAGCUUCCCACCAUGAUGAUGAUGGACUACACCUUUGAAACUGUAAGGCAGCCCAAAUUAUAUGUUGAUCUUUAUAAGAGUUGACAAGGUCACAGUGUUUCUUCACAGCAAUGAAACCAUGACAAAGACAUCUGCUUAAUACACACUUCCAGCAGUCAAGUAUCACCUCACCGCAGAC
rnacentral:lncRNA from 1 species